rnacentral:rRNA from 1 species
AUGAAAUUAAAUCUUUAUGUACUGACUCCUAAGCGAAUUAUUUGGGAUUGUGAGGUGAAAGAAAUCAUUUUAUCCACAAAUAGUGGCCAAAUUGGCGUAUUACCAAACCACGCCCCCAAAGUCCUCCCAUGCAAGGGCAAGGACCUCACACCAAGAUAUGCCCCCACUUCCACCCACGAGACUAGUUAUGAUGUUUUUCCCAACUGGGACGUCGAAGAAUAG